AUUAUUAAUGAGGAUGGCCUGUGCAAAAAGACACCCAGAGAUUUCAUGCUGUUGAUUCACAGAAAGCCUGUUACUGUUCACUCCGUAGAGUCCUCAGAGUCUGGAUCAUCCCUUACAGAAGAUCCUUGAUAAUAUUUCUGAUACACCUCCAAGGUUCCAUUUGUCAAAUGUGUGUGACCCUUCCGAUAAGUCACCAGAGGUGAUGAGGGAGAGAGAGAAAGAAAGCAAAUUACAACUGUAAAGAGUCUCUGAACAGUGAAAGAUCAAAACAGACAGUCUCUGGCUUUACUGGAUGAGUCACCAUUGCAGCCCGACCGCAAAAACAAGCGUGGCUUCUGUACUUAGCAGCAGUCUUCCUGUCUGGAAAGGAAACAUUGCUCAGAUUGGAGAUACUGGCCAUUUUAUAGACUUCAAAGCAACUUAGGCAACUGAACUGUCAGGCGGGAAAACAGGAUGUCUUCCAUUUGGAAGCCCCUUUGCUUCUAAGAAGUUCCAGAGACCAGCCCAGGCCCACAGAGUUAUAAGGAUUCAUCUGGGUACUGAAGACAUUUGGGACCUCAGUGAAGUUUCUCCGAGGCCAGAUGGUCACAUUGAUUUUCUGGAAUCAUUUUGAAUAAAAAUGAGCGAGGUGGUGAACGCAAUGCAAGGCUCUCCACGUACUGUCUGCCCCAAAUCUCCCACCUCCUGCAUGUGUGACCUGAGUAAGAGUCGGUGCAAGAAGACGUCGGUGUUCCCAUCUGUGAAAUGAAGGAAUUGACCCCCGAGGAUCUUCCAUUUCUGACAGUGCUUUGGAUUUCAUUGGUUUUGUCACAGGUACCCCCCAAAAGCCUCCAUCUUUGGAUAAGUGAUUAAAACUGCUGAGUAAUUUUCAAUCAAUAAAAGUUCAGUGCUGGCUCUCA
rnacentral:sRNA from 1 species